CUCAGAUUCAAACAUGAGUAAUCUUGCCUGAAGCCUUUUGCAAAAGCUGCCUUUUCCUCUUUUUUUCUUUUUUUUUUUUAAUUUUAUCUUGGAUAUGUUCCUCUAUCUGCAUAAUACAGAUAGAAUAAUAUGCCAGAGAAGCAUGUUGUUCAUGUUUGCAAAAAUAUUUGGUGGUUGACAAAUGAGCUUGAUGUACUGUGCUGUUGUACUGACUUGACACUAAUCUCUGCCACUUAGAGCAAAUGAGAAUAAAUCACCUCUCCUCUCUUAUCUUCUCCACCCCGAGUUGUGUGUGCACUUGCAGCUCAAGCUGGCUCAAGGUUUAUUUCAAUCCAUGCUUCCCCACCAAUCCUGUCCUGCCAGUUCAGUUUGGGUUGGGAAAAGCUCAGGAGCAGCCCUGGAGUUGGCACUCGCACUGAACCACUGGGCCACUGCGUUCAGGUUUCAGACAUGCAGGUAGGAGAUGACAAGGGAAAAAGGACAGUGAUCUCAGCAGCUAAAAACACCUGGAAAAAAAAGGGAUUGAUUUCAAAGUCUGUCCCCAUAAACGGGAUAUAAUUUACAGGCCUGGUAAAAGGGUGCUGGGAAUCAAGUGAAAUAAAACCACGCUUGCUCAGCCGUCGAACUGCAGAAAUGGGAGCUGAAAUAUUAAUUGCAGAGCUUUACAUUAAAACUGUCAUGUUUGUGAGCAUGGAAUUCAGCAAGGUAUGUCCAGUGGGCUCAGCUUUGGGAUUGCUCCCUUAUCCUCACUGUCAGUCUGAAUCUCAGCUCUCCAGUUUAGGAGUUUAAGUGGAGCUGUGAACUCUCUGGCCAUUCUCAGCCCUUCUGUGUUUAACAGGGGGUUCUCUCUCUUCUGCCAUCUAUAAACCAAGUCAUAAUUGCCCAAAUAUUUACAGUGGUGUUUAUUUCUGGCAGUGAUUUGGUGUUUGUCAUUCACAUUAUGACUGCGAAGCAAUACUUCUGUGCAGUUGAGGUAUUUCAAAUUAUUUGCCUACUGAAGAAGCAAACGUUUCAUUUCUUUCAGAUUGUCACUGCUGCUUAUUAUGUGAGCAAGGACCUAAUUAUGAUUUCACAAUUUGUUUACUGUAUGCUCAGGAGUCAGAAGGUAACAAAAUAG
rnacentral:lncRNA from 1 species